UACGUAGGGGGCGAGCGUUGUCCGGAUUUAUUGGGCGUAAAGAGCGUGUAGGCGGCCAGGUAGGUCUGCUGUGAAAACUCGAGGCUCAACCUCGAGACGUCGGCGGAAACCAUCUGGCUAGAGUCCGGAAGAGGAGAGUGGAAUUCCUGGUGUAGCGGUGAAAUGCGCAGAUAUCAGGAAGAACACCCGUGGCGAAGGCGGAUCUCUGGGCCUUACCUGACGCUCAGGCGCGAAAGCUAGGGGAGCGAACUGG
rnacentral:rRNA from 1 species